AAUUUUACUUUGGGCUAUGGAGCGUUAUUCUAGUGCACGAUUGGCAAUCGAAGGCGGGCCUAAUAAUCCGCCGAGGGCAUACCGAUGAAGUUCCUGGUGGUGGCUUUCGACGCCCAGUCGAGGGCUGCUGCUGGGGGUUAAGGAAUGAGGGGGAUCCGCAAUGGCAUGCGGGCGCGACCCUUUUCCGUGGAGGCCUAAGUGCGUGGCUUUUAUAGCUAUGGCUUAGGGUAGAACCUGCAUUAGGAAGGAACUUAGUGCAGUGUAGCCUGCCUUGAGGUGGAAAAGUUGGGAAGGCUGUAAGAGGUUUGGAAGGUGUUGGCCGAUGCCUUACAAACUGCCGGAAAUGCUUUUCUGCAAAAGAGGCUAGAUUGUCUAGGAGUGUUAAGGAAACUUCUAGAACGUUAACUAGAGAGGAUUGAAGUGGGGACUAAGUGGUGAUCAAGUUCUGGUGAUGGUGACAUCCCAGGCUGAGAAAAAGGAGAAAUCGCCUUAUGGGAAACCGAAGGAGCUCAGUGGGAAAACCUACUUGACCUAAGCCUCAAUAUUGACUCUUUAGCCUCCUGUGGCCCAAGAAAA
rnacentral:sRNA from 1 species